GGGGAUCGAGCACACUCAUCACCCUGUGACAUACCUAAAACGUUGCUUCGGCGGGAACAGACGGCCCUGUAACAACGGGCCGCCCCCGCCAGAGGACCCCUAACUCUGUUUUUAUAAUGUUUUUCUGAGUAAACAAGCAAAUAAAUUAAAACUUUCAACAACGGAUCUCUUGGCUCUGGCAUCGAUGAAGAACGCAGCGAAAUGCGAUAAGUAAUGUGAAUUGCAGAAUUCAGUGAAUCAUCGAAUCUUUGAACGCACAUUGCGCCCGCCAGUAUUCUGGCGGGCAUGCCUGUUCGAGCGUCAUUACAACCCUCAGGCCCCCGGGCCUGGCGUUGGGGAUCGGCGGAAGCCCCCUGUGGGCACACGCCGUCCCUCAAAUACAGUGGCGGUCCCGCCGCAGCUUCCAUUGCGUAGUAGCUAACACCUCGCAACUGGAGAGCGGCGCGGCCAUGCCGUAAAACACCCAACUUCUGAAUGUUGACCUCGAAUCAGGUAGGAAUACCCGCUGAACUUAAGCAUAUCAUAAGCCCGGAGAAA
rnacentral:rRNA from 1 species